rnacentral:rRNA from 1 species
GGGUUGUGAGGUUAAGCGACUAAGCGUACACGGUGGAUGCCCUGGCAGUCAGAGGCGAUGAAGGACGUGCUAAUCUGCGAUAAGCGUCGGUAAGGUGAUAUGAACCGUUAUAACCGGCGAUUUCCGAAUGGGGAAACCCAGUGUGAUUCGUCACACUAUCAUUAACUGAAUCCAUAGGUUAAUGAGGCGAACCGGGGGAACUGAAACAUCUAAGUACCCCGAGGAAAAGAAAUCAACCGAGAUUCCCCCAGUAGCGGCGAGCGAACGGGGAGCAGCCCAGAGCCUGAAUCAGUGUGUGUGUUAGUGGAAGCGUCUGGAAAGGCGCGCGAUACAGGGUGACAGCCCCGUACACAAAAAUGCACAUACUGUGAGCUCGAUGAGUAGGGCGGGACACGUGGUAUCCUGUCUGAAUAUGGGGGGACCAUCCUCCAAGGCUAAAUACUCCUGACUGACCGAUAGUGAACCAGUACCGUGAGGGAAAGGCGAAAAGAACCCCGGCGAGGGGAGUGAAAAAGAACCUGAAACCGUGUACGUACAAGCAGUGGGAGCACGCUUAGGCGUGUGACUGCGUACCUUUUGUAUAAUGGGUCAGCGACUUAUAUUCUGUAGCAAGGUUAACCGAAUAGGGGAGCCGAAGGGAAACCGAGUCUUAACUGGGCGUUAAGUUGCAGGGUAUAGACCCGAAACCCGGUGAUCUAGCCAUGGGCAGGUUGAAGGUUGGGUAACACUAACUGGAGGACCGAACCGACUAAUGUUGAAAAAUUAGCGGAUGACUUGUGGCUGGGGGUGAAAGGCCAAUCAAACCGGGAGAUAGCUGGUUCUCCCCGAAAGCUAUUUAGGUAGCGCCUCGUGAAUUCAUCUCCGGGGGUAGAGCACUGUUUCGGCAAGGGGGUCAUCCCGACUUACCAACCCGAUGCAAACUGCGAAUACCGGAGAAUGUUAUCACGGGAGACACACGGCGGGUGCUAACGUCCGUCGUGAAGAGGGAAACAACCCAGACCGCCAGCUAAGGUCCCAAAGUCAUGGUUAAGUGGGAAACGAUGUGGGAAGGCCCAGACAGCCAGGAUGUUGGCUUAGAAGCAGCCAUCAUUUAAAGAAAGCGUAAUAGCUCACUGGUCGAGUCGGCCUGCGCGGAAGAUGUAACGGGGCUAAACCAUGCACCGAAGCUGCGGCAGCGACGCUGAUGCGUUGUUGGGUAGGGGAGCGUUCUGUAAGCCUGUGAAGGUGUGCUGUGAGGCAUGCUGGAGGUAUCAGAAGUGCGAAUGCUGACAUAAGUAACGAUAAAGCGGGUGAAAAGCCCGCUCGCCGGAAGACCAAGGGUUCCUGUCCAACGUUAAUCGGGGCAGGGUGAGUCGACCCCUAAGGCGAGGCCGAAAGGCGUAGUCGAUGGGAAACAGGUUAAUAUUCCUGUACUUGGUGUUACUGCGAAGGGGGGACGGAGAAGGCUAUGUUGGCCGGGCGACGGUUGUCCCGGUUUAAGCGUGUAGGCUGGUUUUCCAGGCAAAUCCGGAAAACUAAGGCUGAGGCGUGAUGACGAGGCACUACGGUGCUGAAGCAACAAAUGCCCUGCUUCCAGGAAAAGCCUCUAAGCAUCAGGUAACAUCAAAUCGUACCCCAAACCGACACAGGUGGUCAGGUAGAGAAUACCAAGGCGCUUGAGAGAACUCGGGUGAAGGAACUAGGCAAAAUGGUGCCGUAACUUCGGGAGAAGGCACGCUGAUAUGUAGGUGAAGUCCCUCGCGGAUGGAGCUGAAAUCAGUCGAAGAUACCAGCUGGCUGCAACUGUUUAUUAAAAACACAGCACUGUGCAAACACGAAAGUGGACGUAUACGGUGUGACGCCUGCCCGGUGCCGGAAGGUUAAUUGAUGGGGUCAGCGCAAGCGAAGCUCUUGAUCGAAGCCCCGGUAAACGGCGGCCGUAACUAUAACGGUCCUAAGGUAGCGAAAUUCCUUGUCGGGUAAGUUCCGACCUGCACGAAUGGCGUAAUGAUGGCCAGGCUGUCUCCACCCGAGACUCAGUGAAAUUGAACUCGCUGUGAAGAUGCAGUGUACCCGCGGCAAGACGGAAAGACCCCGUGAACCUUUACUAUAGCUUGACACUGAACAUUGAGCCUUGAUGUGUAGGAUAGGUGGGAGGCUUUGAAGUGUGGACGCCAGUCUGCAUGGAGCCGACCUUGAAAUACCACCCUUUAAUGUUUGAUGUUCUAACGUUGACCCGUGAUCCGGGUUGCGGACAGUGUCUGGUGGGUAGUUUGACUGGGGCGGUCUCCUCCUAAAGAGUAACGGAGGAGCACGAAGGUUGGCUAAUCCUGGUCGGACAUCAGGAGGUUAGUGCAAUGGCAUAAGCCAGCUUGACUGCGAGCGUGACGGCGCGAGCAGGUGCGAAAGCAGGUCAUAGUGAUCCGGUGGUUCUGAAUGGAAGGGCCAUCGCUCAACGGAUAAAAGGUACUCCGGGGAUAACAGGCUGAUACCGCCCAAGAGUUCAUAUCGACGGCGGUGUUUGGCACCUCGAUGUCGGCUCAUCACAUCCUGGGGCUGAAGUAGGUCCCAAGGGUAUGGCUGUUCGCCAUUUAAAGUGGUACGCGAGCUGGGUUUAGAACGUCGUGAGACAGUUCGGUCCCUAUCUGCCGUGGGCGCUGGAGAACUGAGGGGGGCUGCUCCUAGUACGAGAGGACCGGAGUGGACGCAUCACUGGUGUUCGGGUUGUCAUGCCAAUGGCACUGCCCGGUAGCUAAAUGCGGAAGAGAUAAGUGCUGAAAGCAUCUAAGCACGAAACUUGCCCCGAGAUGAGUUCUCCCUGACUCCUUGAGAGUCCUGAAGGAACGUUGAAGACGACGACGUUGAUAGGCCGGGUGUGUAAGCGCAGCGAUGCGUUGAGCUAACCGGUACUAAUGAACCGUGAGGCUUAACCUUACAACGCCGAAGCUGUU